rnacentral:rRNA from 1 species
AGAACGAACGCUGGCGGCACGCCUAACACAUGCAAGUCGAGCGCCCAGCAAUGGGAGCGGCGGACGGGUGAGGAACACGUGGGAAUAUGCCUUUCGGUUCGGCACAACUGCGGGAAACUGCAGCUAAUUCCGGAUACGCCCUUACGGGGAAAGAUUUAUCGCCGAAAGAUUAGCCCGCGUCUGAUUAGCUAGUUGGUGAGGUAAUGGCUCACCAAGGCUUCGAUCAGUAGCUGGUUUGAGAGAACGACCAGCCACACUGGGACUGAGACACGGCCCAGACUCCUACGGGAGGCAGCAGUGGGGAAUCUUGGACAAUGGAGGAAACUCUGAUCCAGCGAUGCCGCGUGAGUGAUGAAGGCCUUCGGGUUGUAAAACUCUUUUACCAGGGAAGAUAAUGACUGUACCUGGAGAUAAGCUCCGGCUAACUUCGUGCCAGCAGCCGC